GGUUGUGUAGUGUAGCGGUUAUCACUCCGGAUUCUGAUUAUUGUCACGACUUCCGGCAACCCCGGUUCGAUUCCGGGCACGACCU
rnacentral:tRNA from 1 species